GAUGAACGCUGGCGGCGUGCCUAAUACAUGCAAGUCGAGCGAAUGGAUUAAGAGCUUGCUCUUAUGAAGUUAGCGGCGGACGGGUGAGUAACACGUGGGUAACCUGCCCAUAAGACUGGGAUAACUCCGGGAAACCGGGGCUAAUACCGGAUAACAUUUUGAACCGCAUGGUUCGAAAUUGAAAGGCGGCUUCGGCUGUCACUUAUGGAUGGACCCGCGUCGCAUUAGCUAGUUGGUUAGGUAACGGCUCACCAAGGCAACGAUGCGUAGCCGACCUGAGAGGGUGAUCGGCCACACUGGGACUGAGACACGGCCCAGACUCCUCCGGGAGGCAGCAGUAGGGAAUCUUCCGCAAUGGACGAAAGUCUGACGGAGCAACGCCGCGUGAGUGAUGAAGGCUUUCGGGUCGUAAAACUCUGUUGUUAGGGAAGAACAAGUGCUAGUUGAAUAAGCUGGCACCUUGACGGUACCUAACCAGAAAGCCACGGCUAACUACGUGCCAGCCGCCGCGGUAA
rnacentral:rRNA from 1 species